UACAGAGGGGGCAAGCGUUAUUCGGAAUUAUUGGGCGUAAAGGGCGCGUAGGCGGCCUGGCAAGUGGAAGGUGAAAUCCCUCGGCUUAACCGAGGAACUGCCCUCCAAACUGGUUGGCUUGAGUCCGGGAGAGGUGAGUGGAAUUCCCAGUGUAGCGGUGAAAUGCGUAGAUAUUGGGAGGAACACCAGUGGCGAAGGCGGCUCACUGGACCGGAACUGACGCUGAGGCGCGAAAGCGUGGGGAGCAAACGGG
rnacentral:rRNA from 1 species